UACGUAGGGUGCGAGCGUUGUCCGGAAUUAUUGGGCGUAAAGAGCUCGUAGGCGGUUUGUCGCGUCGGCCGUGAAAACCCGGGGCUCAACCCCGGGCCUGCAUUCGAUACGGGCAGACUAGAGUUCGGUAGGGGAGACUGGAAUUCCUGGUGUAGCGGUGAAAUGCGCAGAUAUCAGGAGGAACACCGGUGGCGAAAGCGGCUUCCUGGUCCAGCACCGACGUUCAGGCACGAAAGCGUGGGGAGCGAACAGG
rnacentral:rRNA from 1 species